AUACGAAGAAACCCUUGAAAAUGAUCAUAGAAGCCUAAAUUCUUCAAAUCUCCAAAUGGGAAAUAUGCUUCUUUGUUUCUCUUGGGUAUGGGAAUCAUUUCUAGCUUUUGAAGACUAGUUAGUUUUCCAAACCCCUUUGUUUGUAGGUUACAUAAAUCACACAGUGAAUCAGGCAAUUUUCUCAAAUUGGAAUUGUUUGAAAGAUCGAGAUAUCUCAAAUGUAUCAAAGUGGUAAUAGAAUGGGGUAGAUUGGCAAUACCCAGAGCUGGUAGACACAGUACUCGAAGACCUUUGAGGUUGGAGAGAAUGAAAUCAUAAUCAAGUGCAACUUCAAUUUCAUCGGUCGAAAUGAGAAGGACCAUGGACACUAGAAGUAAAAUGUUAUUUAGGGGCGACAUUAUCAGCGGUGACAUAUCUGUUUUGUCGAGCUAUAAGUUAUCAAAAGGGAACAAGGAUUUAAGGAUUGUGGCAGAGAUAUUGAUAGUGUUGGAAACAUGCUAGGUUUAUUGAUUGGGUGAUUUGGGUUGAAAUCUUGCAAUUCAAGGCUGGAAAUAGAGGAUAGAAUCGCACUUGGGAUUCCAGAAGGGCACGGUCGCGCUUCUUGCUUGGAAAGUGAAAAUUCUCUGUGGGCGCAAAUGAGACUCGCUUCGUGAAGAAAAUCUGCAAAACGUAUAGUAUAGAUCUUGCCACUUCCUGCACGUACCACUUUGUAAGAAAGGAACAGUGCCCCUCAUAUAAAUAGAAGACCUACUUCCUCAAAAAGAGGAAUGGAAAAUCAUUAUAAUAGCAUACUUGAGAAAAAUAUAAAAAAAAAAAAAUUUCAAUUUUGAUUCCACUCAUUUCCUUAAAGCGUUCUUUACAUUUUUUUUUUGGGAUAAAUCUCUUAUUUUUCAAGUUCUCAUAUUUUUUUAGUAUAAAUCUCUUAUUUUCAAA